rnacentral:rRNA from 1 species
ACGCACGCUGGCGGCAUGCCUAACACAUGCCAGUCGCACGAGACCUUCGGGUCUAGUGGCGCACGGGUGCGUAACGCGUGGGAACCUGCCCUUAGGUUCGGAAUAACUCCCCGAAAGGGGUGCUAAUACCGGAUAAUGUCUUCGGACCAAAGAUUUAUCGCCUUUGGAUGGGCCCGCGUUGGAUUAGCUAGUUGGUAGGGUAAAAGCCUACCAAGGCGACGAUCCAUAGCUGGUCUGAGAGGAUGAUCAGCCACACUGGGACUGAGACACGGCCCAGACUCCUACGGGAGGCAGCAGUGGGGAAUAUUGGACAAUGGGCGAAAGCCUGAUCCAGCAAUGCCGCGUGAGUGAUGAAGGCCUUAGGGUUGUAAAGCUCUUUUACCCGGGAUGAUAAUGACAGUACCGGGAGAAUAAGCUCCGGCUAACUCCGU